AGGGGUUGUCAUGACCUCUGUGCCGCCGCAAACGCAUUAAGUAUUCCGCCUGGGGAGUACGGUCGCAAGAUUAAAACUCAAAGGAAUUGACGGGGGCCCGCACAAGCAGCGGAGCAUGUGGUUUAAUUCGAAGCAACGCGAAGAACCUUACCUAGACUUGACAUCUCCUGCAUUACUCUUAAUCGAGGAAGUCCUUUCGGGGACAGGAUGACAGGUGGUGCAUGGUUGUCGUCAGCUCGUGUCGUGAGAUGUUGGGUUAAGUCCCGCAACGAGCGCAACCCUUAUUGUUAGUUGCUACCAUUUAGUUGAGCACUCUAGCGAGACUGCCCGGGUUAACCGGGAGGAAGGUGGGGAUGACGUCAAAUCAUCAUGCCCCUUAUGUCUAGGGCUACACACGUGCUACAAUGGCAAGUACAAAGAGAUGCGAUACCGCGAGGUGGAGCUAAACUAUAAAACUUGUCUCAGUUCGGAUUGUAGGCUGAAACUCGCCUACAUGAAGCUGGAGUUGCUAGUAAUCGCGAAUCAGAAUGUCGCGGUGAAUACGUUCCCGGGCCUUGUACACACCGCCCGUCACACCAUGAGAGUUGGCAAUACCCAAAGUUCGUGAGCUAACCCGUAAGGGAGGCAGCGACCUAAGGUAGGGUCAGCGAUUGGGGUGAAGUCGUAACAAGGUAGCCGUAGGAGAACCUGCGGCUGGAUCACCUCCUUU
rnacentral:rRNA from 1 species